UACGCACCGCCCGUCACACCAUGGGAGUUGGCUUUACCUGAAGACGGUGCGCUAACCGCAAGGAAGCAGCCGGCCACGGUAGGGUCAGCGACUGGGGUG
rnacentral:rRNA from 1 species